rnacentral:rRNA from 1 species
UACGUAGGCAGCAAGCGUUGUUCGGAAUUACUGGGCGUAAAGAGUGUGUAGGCGGUGUUCUAAGUUUGUCGUGAAAUCUCCCGGCUUAACUGGGAGGGUGCGGCGAAAACUGGAAUGCUAGAGGAUGGGAGAGGUAAGCGGAAUUCCUGGUGUAGCGGUGAAAUGCGCAGAUAUCGGGAAGAACACCCGUGGCGAAGGCGGCUCUCUGGGACGGUACUGACGCUGAGACGCGAAAGCGUGGGGAGCGAACAGG